GCUCCCCUUUUAUCAUCUAUGUAUUUGAUGAUUUAUGAUGCUAAUGUAUAGAACAGAAAUGGAAAGAAUGUAAUGUUUAUUUUGAGCAAGUGUGAUGUAAAAAGAAAUGAUGAAAAGACUAUGUAAAGAAUUAUGAAUGUAAAUGGAUACAUGUUUGUGAUCAAAAUGAAUCAUAGUACUAGUUGAAUGCAUAGUUUCCUAUCUUUCACUCGUGGCUAUUGCUUACCCUCGUGU
rnacentral:lncRNA from 1 species